CCCUGUUCAUCGUGGUUGUGAUG
rnacentral:miRNA from 9 species